CAAUAGCGUAUAUUAAAGUUGUUGCAGUUAAAAAGCUCGUAGUUGGAUUUGUGGCGUACGGUGUGUUCCGGGCACUUGUUGUCUGAGUAACCUGCUGUUGCCAUCCUUGGGUGGAACCUGUGUGGCAUUAGGUUGUCGUGCAGGGGAUGCCCAUCAUUUACUGUGAAAAAUUAGAGUGUUCAAAGCAGGCUUAUGCCGUUGAAUAUAUUAGCAUGGAAUAAUGAGAUAGGACUUUUUUGCUAUUUUGUUGGUUUGCGCAAAGAGGUAAUGAUUAAUAGGGACAGUUGGGGGUAUUCGUAUUCCAUUGUCAGAGGUGAAAUUCUUGGAUUUUUGGAAGACGAACUACUGCGAAAGCAUUUACCAAGGAUGUUUUCAUUAA
rnacentral:rRNA from 1 species